rnacentral:lncRNA from 1 species
ACAAACCCACCGAACCACUGUUUUGCGCUCACUCCGCUGACUCUGAUUCGCAUCAAAACAAAACAACAGGCCACGCCUACUUGAAUCAAAUUGAAUCCAUUUCCUCAUUCUAUUGCCGCAUUAAGUCUCAAACAACUAACCAUAUUUCAUUUGUCUCACUCUUUAUAUAUAGUUAGUUUUGACAUUACCUCCUUCAAAUCACACAUCAAAUUAAGACCCUCUCAUCUGCUCCAUCACAAAACAAAGAACCUUGUAAUAAUAAUUCCUCUAUUAUGGCUUCGAUUGUUCUUCUGGUUUCAGAACUUGUUAGGAACCAUGAUUGGGAUGCUGCAUCUCUAAUAGCAGCAUAUCCUCCUCCCUCAUUGUCUUCAUCUUCUUCUUCAUCAUGUGCUGCAGCUAUGAGAAACAGCAAUAACAACAACAGCCGCCAUAGAACUCAAGAGAACACGCUUAUUUUGGAGAAUCCAGUGGAGUCACGGGUCUCUGUCGAUUUCGUUUGGCCUUGAAAUUAUUAAUGGAUCGUCUUUCCUCUUCAUCUUUCAGUAUGGUGUAUUUUUUUCUUUUUUCUCCGAAUUGUCGGGAAAUUUGAUGAUUACGUUGCACGAUAAUGUACAUAUUAGUGUGAAGUAUCAUGUUUAUUUGCAUCAAAUUUAUCAGAAGUAUGUUCCUUUAUGACGAUGAAAUUGAUCGAUCAAUUCAUGGCAGUUUUUUCCGCCCUCUCUUUAGAGAUACUUGACUACUGAGAGAUAAUCAGAUAAG